CCUACGGGCGGCAGCAGUGGGGAAUAUUGCACAAUGGGCGCAAGCCUGAUGCAGCCAUGCCGCGUGUGUAAAGAAGGCCUUCGGGUUGUAAAGCACUUUCAGCGGGGAGGAAGGCGUUAAGGUUAAUAACCUUGGCGGUUGACGUUACCCGCAGAAGAAGCACCGGCUAACUCCGUGCCAGCAGCCGCGGUAAUACGGAGGGUGCAAGCGUUAAUCGGAAUUACUGGGCGUAAAGCGCACGCAGGCGGUCUGUCAAGUCGGAUGUGAAAUCCCCGGGCUCAACCUGGGGACUGCAUUCGAAACUGGCAGGCUAGAGUCUUGUAGAGGGGGGUAGAAUUCCAGGUGUAGCGGUGAAAUGCGUAGAGAUCUGGAGGAAUACCGGUGGCGAAGGCGGCCCCCUGGACAAAGACUGACGCUCAGGUGCGAAAGCGUGGGGAGCAAACAGGAUUAGAUACCCCAGUAGUC
rnacentral:rRNA from 1 species